rnacentral:rRNA from 1 species
AGCGAACGCUGGCGGCAGGCCUAUCACAUGCAAGUCGAACGGACCUUUCGGGGUUAGUGGCGGACGGGUGAGUAACACGUGGGAACGUGCCUUUAGGUUCGGAAUAGCUCCUGGAAACGGGUGGUAAUGCCGAAUGUGCCCUUAGGGGGAAAGAUUUAUCGCCUUUAGAGCGGCCCGCGUCUGAUUAGCUAGUUGGUGAGGUAAUGGCUCACCAAGGCUACGAUCAGUAGCUGGUCUGAGAGGAUGACCGGCCACAUUGGGACUGAGACACGGCCCAAACUCCUACGGGAGGCAGCAGUGGGGAAUCUUGCGCAAUGGGCGAAAGCCUGACGCAGCCAUGCCGCGUGGAUGAUGAAGGUCUUAGGAUUGUAAAAUCCUUUCACCGGUGAAGAUAAUGACUGUAGCCGGAGAAGAAGCCCCGGCUAACUUCGUGCCAGCAGCCGCAGUAA